rnacentral:rRNA from 1 species
CCUUGGCAGUCAGAGGCGAUGAAAGACGUAGUAACUUGCGAUAAGCCCAGAUUAGGUAGUAACAACCAUUUGAGUCUGGGAUUUCUGAAUGGGGAAACCCACGUGCAUAAGCACGUAUCCUUACCUGAAUACAUAGGGUAAGGAGGCGAACCGGGGGAACUGAAACAUCUAAGUACCCCGAGGAAAAGAAAUCAACCGAGAUUCCGAAAGUAGCGGCGAGCGAAAUUGGACUAGCCCUUAAGCUUUACACGCGUUAGACGAACGGUCUGGAAAGUCCGACGAUACAGGGUGAUAGUCCCGUAGUUGACGACGUGUGUUCAGUGAAAUCGAGUAGGGCGGGACACGUGAUAUCCUGUCUGAAUAUGGGGGGACCAUCCUCCAAGGCUAAAUACUACUGACUGACCGAUAGUGAACCAGUACCGUGAGGGAAAGGCGAAAAGAACCCCUGUGAGGGGAGUGAAAUAGAACCUGAAACCGUGUACGUACAAGCAGUAGGAGCAGGCUUUGUCCUGUGACUGCGUACCUUUUGUAUAAUGGGUCAGCGACUUAUAUUCAGUGGCAAGGUUAACCAUCUAGGGGAGCCGUAGGGAAACCGAGUCUUAACUGGGCGUUCAGUCUCUGGAUAUAGACCCGAAACCAGGUGAUCUAGCCAUGGGCAGGUUGAAGGUUGAGUAACAUCAACUGGAGGACCGAACCGACUAAUGUUGAAAAAUUAGCGGAUGACUUGUGGCUAGGGGUGAAAGGCCAAUCAAACCUGGAGAUAGCUGGUUCUCCCCGAAAGCUAUUUAGGUAGCGCCUCGGACGAAUACUACUGGGGGUAGAGCACUGUUAAGGCUAGGGGGUCAUCCCGACUUACCAACCCUUUGCAAACUCCGAAUACCAGUAAGUACUAUCCGGGAGACACACGGCGGGUGCUAACGUCCGUCGUGGAGAGGGAAACAACCCAGACCGCCAGCUAAGGUCCCAAAUUACUACUAAGUGGGAAACGAUGUGGGAAGGCUCAGACAGCCAGGAUGUUGGCUUAGAAGCAGCCAUCAUUUAAAGAAAGCGUAAUAGCUCACUGGUCGAGUCGGCCUGCGCGGAAGAUGUAACGGGGCUAAGUAGUAAACCGAAGCUGCGGCAAUAUACUUUUGUAUAUUGGGUAGGGGAGCGUUCUGUAAGCGGUUGAAGGUGUGUGGUAACGCAUGCUGGACGUAUCAGAAGUGCGAAUGCUGACAUGAGUAACGAUAAAGGGGGUGAAAAACCYCCUCGCCGGAAGACCAAGGGUUCCUGUCCAACGUUAAUCGGGGCAGGGUAAGUCGACCCCUAAGGCGAGGCCGAAAGGCGUAGUCGAUGGGAAACGGGUUAAUAUUCCCGUACUUCUUACAAUUGCGAUGGGGGGACGGAGAAGGCUAGGUGGGCCUGGCGACGGUUGUCCAGGUUCAAGUGCGUAGGCUUAAGAGUUAGGUAAAUCCGGCUCUUUYUAAGGCUGAGACACGACGUCGAGCACCUACGGGUGUGAAGUCAUUGAUGCCAUGCUUCCAGGAAAAGCCUCUAAGCUUCAGAUUGUAAGGAAUCGUACCCCAAACCGACACAGGUGGUCGGGUAGAGAAUACCAAGGCGCUUGAGAGAACUCGGGUGAAGGAACUAGGCAAAAUGGUACCGUAACUUCGGGAGAAGGUACGCUCUYGAYGGUGAAGUCCCUUGCGGAUGGAGCURWYGAGAGUCGCAGAUACCAGGUGGCUGCAACUGUUUAUUAAAAACACAGCACUGUGCAAAAUCGUAAGAUGACGUAUACGGUGUGACGCCUGCCCGGUGCCGGAAGGUUAAUUGAUGGGGUUAGACUUCGGUCGAAGCUCUUGAUCGAAGCCCCGGUAAACGGCGGCCGUAACUAUAACGGUCCUAAGGUAGCGAAAUUCCUUGUCGGGUAAGUUCCGACCUGCACGAAUGGCGUAAUGAUGGCCACGCUGUCUCCACCCGAGACUCAGUGAAAUUGAAAUCGCUGUGAAGAUGCAGUGUACCCGCGGCUAGACGGAAAGACCCCGUGAACCUUUACUACAGCUUGGCACUGAACAUUGACCCUACAUGUGUAGGAUAGGUGGGAGGCUUUGAAGCACGUACGCCAGUAUGUGUGGAGCCGUCCUUGAAAUACCACCCUUGUAGUGUUGAUGUUCUAACGUCGACCCCUUAUCGGGGUUGCGGACAGUGCCUGGUGGGUAGUUUGACUGGGGCGGUCUCCUCCCAAAGAGUAACGGAGGAGCACGAAGGUGGGCUAAUCACGGUUGGACAUCGUGAGGUUAGUGCAAUGGCAUAAGCCCGCUUGACUGCGAGAAUGACAAUUCGAGCAGGUGCGAAAGCAGGUCAUAGUGAUCCGGUGGUUCUGAAUGGAAGGGCCAUCGCUCAACGGAUAAAAGGUACUCCGGGGAUAACAGGCUGAUACCGCCCAAGAGUUCAUAUCGACGGCGGUGUUUGGCACCUCGAUGUCGGCUCAUCACAUCCUGGGGCUGAAGUCGGUCCCAAGGGUAUGGCUGUUCGCCAUUUAAAGUGGUACGCGAGCUGGGUUUAGAACGUCGUGAGACAGUUCGGUCCCUAUCUGCCGUGGGCGUUGGAAGAUUGAAGGGGGCUGCUCCUAGUACGAGAGGACCGGAGUGGACGAACCUCUGGUGUUCGGGUUGUGUCGCCAGACGCAUUGCCCGGUAGCUAAGUUCGGAAUCGAUAACCGCUGAAAGCAUCUAAGCGGGAAGCGAGCCCUGAGAUGAGUCUUCCCUGAUACUUUAAGUAUCCUAAAGGGUUGUCGGAGACUACGACGUUGAUAGGUCAGGUGUGUAAGUGCUGUGAGGCAUUGAGCUAACUGAUACUAAUUGCCCGUGAGGCUUAACCAUACAACACCCAAGGGGUUU